rnacentral:lncRNA from 1 species
UGCCUCGUACAUUACCUUAAGAUUUUUAGAUAAUGAGAUAUUCCUCAAAUAUGCUUUGUGUUAUACUUGUCAGAAGGAAAAGUAAUGCGAGUUUACACUGUAGUUUCGGCAUUUAUUUGGAUUCCUCGUUGGUAGUAUCUUUAUUUUGCUAUGAGAACUGGUAAGCGUGCUAAUAAUGAGAAAUAUUUGUCCACCUUGGUGAAUGCCAUGCCCUUGUUUGGGCAUGAGAUGCUACUUUUUAGGCUCGAAUGUCAAUCCUCAGGUGCUUUUUCACUAAUGGUAUGUUAUAGUUACUUUUCCAAUUGUGUUGUGUCUAGUGGACUUUUUGUGAAGUUAGAAUUGCAUCCUGCAAAUGCUGGGUGAAGUUGAGUGUGGUGUUGGGCUUGAGCGCCAAUUUGACGCACUAUACUUUCAUUGGUUAUUGAUUAGAAUUUGUUUCCUCGGAUGAAUUCUCUGCUUUUGGAUAUUUCAUUCUAAUGGCGGGGCUUCCUAACAUCAACUUAUCCAUGAUCCUGUGGGUGAUACUUCCAAAUGCUUGUGAGCGGAUGCACAUGCAACUAAAUAGGUGACCUGUACUUCCAAAAUGUAAUUUUCCUCCUCCAGUCGAAUUAUGUCAAAAAAAGAUGAGUGCCUGGGCUGGUGCACUCUAUGUUGUACCCUUUAAGUCACUUUUUGCUUAGUAAUUCACGGAGGUUUCUUGCUUUAACAAUGUUUGAGCUGGAUUAUUGAGGCUUUGUGAUAUGAACAGCUUGUAUGUUGGUCAUAUGACUUUUUUGCACUUAAAGCUUUGGUCACUCCUCUGAUUGCCAACUAGCAAUCAACCAGAUAAUGUAUUGGUACAAAAGGUGCUUGUGAAGUGUUUUUUGUCAAC